UACGGAGGGUGCAAGCGUUAUCCGGAUUCACUGGGUUUAAAGGGUGCGUAGGUGGGCUGGUAAGUCAGUGGUGAAAUCUCCGGGCUUAACCCGGAAACUGCCAUUAAUACUACUGGUCUUGAAUGUCGUGGAGGUGAGCGGAAUAUGUCAUGUAGCGGUGAAAUGCUUAGAUAUGACAUAGAACACCAAUUGCGAAGGCAGCUCACUACACGAAUAUUGACACUGAGGCACGAAAGCGUGGGGAUCAAACAGG
rnacentral:rRNA from 1 species